UAGGGAAUUUUCGUCAAUGGGCGCAAGCCUGAACGAGCAAUGCCGCGUGAGUGAGGAAGGUCUUCGGACUGUAAAGCUCUGUUGCCGGGGAAAAAGGGGAAAUGCAGGAAAUGGCAUUUCAUGGAUGGUACCCGGCCAGAAAGCCACGGCUAACUACGUGCCAGCAGCCGCGGUAAUACGUAGGUGGCGAGCGUUAUCCGGAAUGAUUGGGCAGGUAAGGUGCAGGCGGUCUGUUAAGUCUGAAGGCAAAGGGAUGAGCUCAACUCAUUUAUGAUUCAGAAACUGGCAGACUUGAGGACAGGAGAGGGCGGUGGAACUCCAUGUGUAGCGGUAAAAUGCGCAGAGAUAUGGAAGAACACCAGUGGCGAAGGCGGCCGCCUGGCCUGUGACUGACGCUGAGGCACGAAAGCGUGGGGAGCAAAUAGGAUUAGAUACC
rnacentral:rRNA from 1 species